rnacentral:lncRNA from 1 species
CGAAUCGUGUGGGCCCCCACAGGCACUGGAAGAAAUGUUUUUGUUAAAAUUACUUGCAGCACUUUAAUAAACCUGUUUGUGUGUGUGUUCUACUAAAAAGAAUCCUGCAAAGAAGAGUAUCUCCAGCUCACAGACUCCUGCUGUAAGAUGUCUGAGGAAGCAGAGACCAGCUGUCUCCAGGUCUUCGUUGGAUUUGAUCAGCCAGCUUCAUCUGUAAUCACAAUAAUGUGGCUCUCAGGGUUCACCAGAAGUGUCACUCUUGGCUGCCCAUUCUUCACCUGACCCCGGGGCUCACAGCCAGAGGAAAUGGCAGGAGAACUUCCGGGUCACAGCAGUAGCAGGAAACCAAGGAGAUUGAGCUUUUCCUCCCUCGGGAACAACACCUACAACAAAGCAGAUGCUAAGCCUGCUGGGCUCCACGCGGGUCAGCCUCGCUGCUCUCUGACCUUCUCUAGCUGCUACUCUCUGCAGCUCUGUCCAUUCCAGUCACAGGGAUCCAAAGGUUUACACAAUCUCCUAAAACGACAGAUAAAUCACAAGCAGAGGUACAGGACUCAUACAAGAAGGCUUUACCUCAGUGGGACUACGGACAACACCAGAGAAGGGUAAGCCAUCCUACAUCUACCCGAGGGGAAGUGGG